GUGCAAUCAUGCUGCCUAAAGCCA
rnacentral:siRNA from 1 species